GAGUUUGAUCGUGGCUCAGGAUGAACGCUAGCGGCAGGCUUAAUACAUGCAAGUCGUGGGGCAGCAUGGGUGUAGCAAUACAUCUGAUGGCGACCGGCAAACGGGUGCGGAACACGUACACAACCUUCCUUUAAGUGGGGAAUAGCCCGGGGAAACCCGGAUUAAUACCCCGUAACAUAGUGAAGUGGCAUCACUUUAUUAUUAUAGCAGCAAUGCGCUUAUAGAUGGGUGUGCGACUGAUUAGGCAGUUGGCGGGGUAACGGCCCACCAAACCUACGAUCAGUAACUGGUGUGAGAGCACGACCAGUCACACGGGCACUGAGACACGGGCCCGACUCCUACGGGAGGCAGCAGUAAGGAAUAUUGGUCAAUGGACGCAAGUCUGAACCAGCCAUGCCGCGUGGAGGAUGAAGGUCCUCUGGAUUGUAAACUUCUUUUAUCUGGGAAGAACCCACGAAUUCUUUUGUGGUUUGACGGUUACCAGACGAAUAAGCACCGGCUAACUCCGUGCCAGCCGCCGCCGUAA
rnacentral:rRNA from 1 species